rnacentral:misc_RNA from 1 species
AACGCACCUUGCGCUCCCUGGUACUCCGGGGAGCACGUCUGUUCGAGUGUCCUAAUGACCAUCAGACAUAGGUGCCACUAUACCUAUGCCUGGAGCUGGACCAUGCUGUAAAUGGCUGGUCUGAAACACAUUAGUGGGUACGUUAUGAGCAGUCCUCCGGUCGUGAUAUCUAAUCAAAUCGAACGGGACCAACUGUCUAACUCAUAUGGAGACCUGCUUUUCUAAUGCUAGCUAUCAAAAUUAGACCUCGAAUCAGAUGGGACUACCCGCUGAACUUAA